rnacentral:tRNA from 5 species
GCGGAUGUGGCGGAACUGGUAGACGCCCUGGAUUUAGGUUCCAGUGCCGAAAGGCGUGGAGGUUCGAGUCCUCUCAUCCGCACCA